GCGGCAGUGCCGGAUGCCUAUACAUGCAAGUCGAACGAGCUUCCGUUGAAUGACGUGCUUGCACUGAUUUCAACAAUGAAGCGAGUGGCGAACUGGUGAGUAACACGUGGGAAAUCUGCCCAGAAGCAGGGGAUAACACUUGGAAACAGGUGCUAAUACCGUAUAACAACAAAAUCCGCAUGGAUUUUGUUUGAAAGGUGGCUUCGGCUAUCACUUCUGGAUGAUCCCGCGGCGUAUUAGUUAGUUGGUGAGGUAAAGGCCCACCAAGACGAUGAUACGUAGCCGACCUGAGAGGGUAAUCGGCCACAUUGGGACUGAGACACGGCCCAAACUCCUACGGGAGGCAGCAGUAGGGAAUCUUCCACAAUGGACGAAAGUCUGAUGGAGCAAUGCCGCGUGAGUGAAGAAGGGUUUCGGCUCGUAAAACUCUGUUGUUAAAGAAGAACACCUUUGAGAGUAACUGUUCAAGGGUUGACGGUAUUUAACCAGAAAGCCACGGCUAACUACGUGCCAGCAGCCGCGGUAAUACGUAGGUGGCAAGCGUUGUCCGGAUUUAUUGGGCGUAAAGCGAGCGCAGGCGGUUUUUUAAGUCUGAUGUGAAAGCCUUCGGCUUAACCGGAGAAGUGCAUCGGAAACUGGGAGACUUGAGUGCAGAAGAGGACAGUGGAACUCCAUGUGUAGCGGUGGAAUGCGUAGAUAUAUGGAAGAACACCAGUGGCGAAGGCGGCUGUCUAGUCUGUAACUGACGCUGAGGCUCGAAAGCAUGGGUAGCGAACAGGAUUAGAUACCCUGGUAGUCCAUGCCGUAAACGAUGAGUGCUAAGUGUUGGAGGGUUUCCGCCCUUCAGUGCUGCAGCUAACGCAUUAAGCACUCCGCCUGGGGAGUACGACCGCAAGGUUGAAACUCAAAGGAAUUGACGGGGGCCCGCACAAGCGGUGGAGCAUGUGGUUUAAUUCGAAGCUACGCGAAGAACCUUACCAGGUCUUGACAUCUUCUGCCAAUCUUAGAGAUAAGACGUUCCCUUCGGGACAGAAUGACAGGUGGUGCAUGUGUCGUCAGCUCGUGUCGUGAAGAUGUUGGGGUAAGUCCCGCAACGAGCGCAACCCUAUAUCAGUGCCAGCAUCAGUGGGCCUCUGGUGAGACUGCCGUGACAAACCGAGAGUGGGGAAGAACGUCAAUCCAUCAUGCCCCUUAUAGACCUG
rnacentral:rRNA from 1 species